UACGUAGGGUGCGAGCGUUGUCCGGAAUUAUUGGGCGUAAAGAGCUCGUAGGCGGUCUGUCGCGUCGGUCGUGAAAACUUGGGGCUUAACCCUGAGCUUGCGGUCGAUACGGGCAUGACUGGAGUUCGGCAGGGGAGACUGGAAUUCCUGGUGUAGCGGUGAAAUGCGCAGAUAUCAGGAGGAACACCGGUGGCGAAGGCGGCAUCCUGGACCACGACUGACGCUGAGUGAGCGAAAGCCAGGGGAGCAAACGGG
rnacentral:rRNA from 1 species